rnacentral:rRNA from 1 species
UACGGAGGGGGCUAGCGUUGUUCGGAAUUACUGGGCGUAAAGCGCACGUAGGCGGCUUUGUAAGUUAGAGGUGAAAGCCCGGGGCUCAACUCCGGAAUUGCCUUUAAGACUGCAUCGCUAGAAUUGUGGAGAGGUAAGUGGAAUUCCGAGUGUAGAGGUGAAAUUCGUAGAUAUUCGGAAGAACACCAGUGGCGAAGGCGACUUACUGGACACAUAUUGACGCUGAGGUGCGAAA